rnacentral:rRNA from 1 species
AUGGCCUUGGGGAGAGCCGCUACGGGGGAGAUCCCAUGGUUCUGUGCUCGGCGGACGCCUUUGUCCUUCUCGUCGUCCCCUUCAUCCACGGCUCCAGGCCAGGUCCAGGGGCUCAAUCUCUACGCGGGAGAUCCCGUGGUUCUCAGUUCGGUGGAUGCGGGGAGUACAAUGAUUUCUUUGUCUACAGGGCAGGUCCAGGGGCACCAUCUCUCUCCCUUCUCCCUGGCGUCGACUCCUACCGCUCUCCCGACUACGUCACGCUGGCCGGCGUUGUGCCCCUCGGCGGUGCCGAUCUCAACAGCAAAGACUACACCGUGGUCUUUCCCUCGCUAUCAAAAUUUCGCUCGCGAUACACCAACGACUCUACUAGGAAGGAGUACGACCUCUACGUGUAUCGCUCCGAUAUCUCUGACUGGCAGUGGCACAACAUGGUUUCCAAGAAGAACAAUUCCGAGGUAA